CAUUCUUCUUCUUCUGUUCCCUGGAGAACCAUUAACAAUCUCCUUUGUAUUACCACCACUAUCAACAGCAACGUCAAAAACAACCAAAUCUCUUUCAAAAUCAAUAAACCAUCGAUUAGAUUUCAUACCUUACUUCAUGGAACAAGGUUCAAUAAACUUUGAGUUCUAGAUCUAGGUUUUUUAAUGGGUUUUCAAAGUUUUGAAGUUAAUGAUUUCGAGUGAAAUAGUGAUAGAUCGAAUGGCUUUUUGGAGAUAAUCAGUUAUUAUUGAAGGAAGAACACAAAUUUCAGAGAGGUUGAAUUUCUUUCUCCAUCAAGGGAGCUUAAUUAAAGAUCACGGUGAUUCAAAAUGAUAAGUUCUUUAAACCCAAUUCCAUUUUUCAUUGCAUAUUCACAUCUAUAUUGUUUAAUUUUUGUUUAAUCGAAAUAUUGAAUUUAAGAUUUUGUAAAAUUGAUUUUAGGGUUUUGAGAGUUGGGAACUCUGUUUGAAACGUGAAAUUUUUUUGCAGGAAGAGGAGAAUGAGAAUUUCGACAGUGUAAUUAAGACGAAGAAGAUGAGGGGAAAGGGGGGAAUUUAUGAGAUUAAUGGCUUCAGAAAAAAAACAGAUUCAGAAGAUUCAGAUACAGGGUGGAGGGAGGAGAGAAAAGAGAAAAAUUGUGCUAGUGGAAGUACAAGUAGAAGAAGAAGCAGAAGAAGACCACCUCCACAUUCUUUUUCUUGUUUUGCAGAAAGGGUUUCUAAGGAUGGGCGAAUAAAGAUGUCUGUGGAGACAUCAAAGAAGAACAAAGGGAAAGAAGAGGAGUUUUUAAGAUGUCACCAAUGUGUUGGUUUGACAUACAAAGGGGUGGUUGUUUGUUGCAAAAACUGUUAAGUUAAACACUACUGUUUGACGUGCAUUCGUCGUUGGUAUCCUGGGCAUACAACUGAAGCGAUUGCAGAGUCUUUCCCAUUUUGUCAUGGAAGCUGUAAUUGCAAAACCAUGCUUGCGUUUUUGCAACAUGUCUAAGCAUUUGUAGAGCCAGAAAAUGAAGAUGGAGGCAGAAGAGAGACUUAAAUAUUGUAAAUAUUUGUUACAAGCUCUUUUACCAGUCUUAAAUCAAAUCCACGAAGAGCAAGCAAUGGAAAAGGAGCUCGAGGCGAAUAUUCAAGAAAAUGGGCCUUACAGUUGAGUGUACGAGAUUGCAAUCGAGCUGUUGUACGUCUUCCUUCCUACACAAAGUCUAACCUAACUGUGAGAGGUUGAGUUUGCGUUUCUCAAAACUGUUUGUCAUCGCUUAAGGCAUGGUAUAGGAGAGGGAUGGAAAAUGCUUCUAUGGGAAACUACAAGGAUGCAAUCCAGGAUCUAGAUAUUGCCAUGAACAUGGAACUUUCCUCCGGUGGAAACAGUAAAAUAAAAGAGGAACUUGAGAUAAUUAAAAAACAAAGUCGCAGAGUAAAAAACUCACGUAAGAAGGCCAGCAAUAUGAAUUGUAACUCCAUUGAAACACAGAUUAUGGAUGAGAUUAAUGAGCAGAUUGAGAACAUGAAGCAGGUUCAGGGAGCGUUGUGAAACCCUAUUGGAGCAGCUGCUGACUUUGAUGAGAUGAAUUGGAAUCUGAACUCGAGGAGUUGGAAGGAGCUGAGUUGGAGGAACAACUUUUACAACCUGCAACCAUGGUAAUCAUGGUAAGACAUUGGCAAUCAUGUUAUGAUGAAAAAGCUUUGACGAAGAAGAUUUUGCACUCGUAGUUGCGGCUUCAGCACCUGCAACUCUACCACCUACAAUUCAGACAAUUCACAGUUGAUACGUCAAAAGUUAUAGCUGGAGUGAUCAAAGAUUAACCAAAUGAUGAAAGCUUAAGGGAUCAAAUGGUUGGCUCCAGUUGGGAUUCUGAUACUAUGCGGUGGCAGAUCUUUCGAGGGGUUCCCGUCGGUGUUUCUCCGGCAACUUGAGCUGUUGGAAGGACAAGAGGGCUUAUACCCCUGAAAUCAUAUUCAAGCAAGAGGUUCUACCAUUAAUGGCAGCCAUUAGCUCCCUUUGUAGCUGCAAGUUUUGAGUAAGUUUCUGCUUAUAGUGAUUUAGAGAAUGAACUGAACUUAGGAACUUAGUAGGUUUCUAUGAAUUUCCUCAGAAUUUGAUACUUUACAGUAACAUAUCUUUUUGGUACUUAAUAGAAUUUCUAUUCUUUUUGAA